AACUGUGAAGGAGUUCAGGCUGGGAAAUCAGUUAUCCCAUUGAUCACCAGGAUUAAUUUGUCUGCUAUGGCAGGCUGGGUAGAUUUUCUCUUUCUUCCUCACUCUUUUAUUGAUAUCUCCCUUGGUCAAUGAGAAUAGCCUGCCCAAGAGAAGAGGGCUUUCUUUGGUCAAUAGUAUAAGAAUAGUGAGCCUCCCAUGCUGGAAGUUUCAAGCCACCUUUCAUAUAGACUGUAGU
rnacentral:sRNA from 1 species